GCGUAAAACAGCCGUGUUUACGUUGAUAGACACGUUUUCUCCCAUCCCGUCAUUGCAGGAGGAAACACGAUUCAUCACUGAACCAAACGCGUUCCAUGCGUUCCCCA